CGUACGGCUCAGUAACACGUAGUCAACCUGCCCUGGAGACGCGGACAAACCCGGGAAACUGGGGCCUAUCCGCGAUAGGCGACCUCAUCUGGAAGGAGAAGUCGUCGAAAAGGGCGCACGGGUAUGCUCUGUGCGAACCGCUCCAGGAUGGGACUGCGGCCGAUCAGGCUGUUGGCGGGGUAAUGGCCCACCAAACCUGUAACCGGUACGGGCUUUGAGAGAAGGAGCCCGGAGAUGGACACUGAGACAAGGGUCCAGGCCCUACGGGGCGCAUCAGGCGCGAAAACUUCGCAAUGCGCGAAAGCGUGACGAGGCUAGUCCGAGUGCUCCCUGCUAAAGGGAGCUUUUCUCGGCUGUAAAUAGGCCGGGGAAUAAGGGGAGGGCAAGUCUGGUGUCAGCCGCCGCGGUAAUACCAGCUCCUCGAGUGGUCGGGACGAUUAUUGGGCCUAAAGCACCCGUAGCCGGUUCCGUAAGUCCUCUGUUAAAUCCAGCCGCCCAACGGCUGGCCUGCAGGGGAAACUGCCGGACUAGGAGGCGGGAGAGGCGGACGGUACUCCGCGUGUAGGGGUAAAAUCCUUUGAUCCGCGGAAGACCACCAGUGGCGAAGGCGGUCCGCCAGAACGCGCUCGACGGUGAGGGGUGAAAGCUGGGGGAGCGAACC
rnacentral:rRNA from 1 species